GACGAACCGUGCGAACGUUAUUCGGAAUCAUUGGGCUUAAAGAGCGCGUAGGCGGCGCUGUAAGUCGAAGGUGAAAUCCCACCGGCUCAACCGUGGAAUUGCCUUUGAAACUGCAGUGCUUGAGGGAGCUAGGGGCACGUGGAACUUCCGGUGGAGCGGUGAAAUGUGUUGAUAUCGGAGGGAACGCCUGUGGCGAAAGCGGCGUGCUGGAUCUCUUCUGACGCUGAGGCGCGAAAGCUAGGGUAGCGAACGGG
rnacentral:misc_RNA from 1 species